CAGACAGUUCUGGAGUCUGAAAUCCUCUGCUGAUUUACUAGACAGGUACAGCAUGAGCAACAGACAGUGCUUCAACUUUCUUUUCAAUGUGCUUCAAAUCUGAACAGAAAUAAUUGUUUCCAGUUUCCAUGUACAUUCAGACUCUAUUUCUUGAAAUGACCCUG
rnacentral:sRNA from 1 species